rnacentral:tRNA from 1 species
GGGGGCGUAGCUCAUCUGGGAGAGCGCUACAUUCGCAUUGUAGAGGUAGUGAGUUCGAUCCUCAUCGUCUCCACCA